AGGACGAACGCUGGCGGCGUGCUUAAUACAUGCAAGUCGAGCGAGGCCUUGGAAUUGGAGUCCUCGGGAUGAAGAGUCCUUGGCCCUAGCGGCGGACGGGUGAGUAACGCGUGGGCAACCUACCCCCAAAGUCCGGGAUAACAGUGGGAAACCGCUGCUAAUACCGGAUGGCUUUACCUGAGGGCAUCCUCGGGUAAAGAAAGGUUACGCUUUGGGAUGGGCCCGCGUCCCAUUAGCUAGUUGGUGAGGUAACGGCUCACCAAGGCGACGAUGGGUAGCCGGCCUGAGAGGGUGAACGGCCACACUGGGACUGAGACACGGCCCAGACUCCUACGGGAGGCAGCAGUAGGGAAUAUUGCGCAAUGGGCGGAAGCCUGACGCAGCGACGCCGCGUGAGCGAAGAAGGCCUUCGGGUCGUAAAGCUCUGUCCUUGGGGAAGAAGGCGAAAGCUUGACGGUACCCAAGAAGAAAGCCCCGGCUAACUACGUG
rnacentral:rRNA from 1 species